GAGAUUUUCGCAAUGCCCGAAAGGGUGACGAAGCGACGCCGCGUGCGGGAAGAAGGCCUUCGGGUUGUAAACCGCUGUCGGGAGUUAAGAAAUGUAAGGAUGUUAAUAGCAUCUUUGCUUGACUAAGGCUCCGGAGGAAGCCACGGCUAACUCUGUGCCAGCAGCCGCGGUAAUACAGAGGCGGCAAGCGUUGUUCGGAAUUAUUGGGCGUAAAGAGCACGUAGGCGGCUAUGUAAGUCGGUUGUGAAAGCCUUCCGCUCAACGGGAGAACAGCAUCCGAUACUGCAUGGGUUGAGUGCGGGAGGGGAGAGUGGAACUUCUGGUGGAGCGGUGAAAUGCGUAGAUAUCAGAAGGAACGCCGGCGGCGAAAGCGGCUCUCUGGCCCAUAACUGACGCUGAGUGUGCGAAAGCUAGGGGAGCAAACGGGAUUAGAUACCCCGGUAGUCCUAGCCGUAAACGAUGGGCACUAAGUAGAGGGGUUUUA
rnacentral:rRNA from 1 species